rnacentral:rRNA from 1 species
AACGAACGCUAGCGGCAGGCUUAACACAUGCAACUCGAACGCAUCGCAAGAUGAGUGGCAGACGGGUGAGUAACGCGUGGGAACAUACCCUUUUCUACGGAAUAGCUCUGGGAAACUGGAAUUAAUACCGUAUAUGCCCUACGGGGGAAAGAUUUAUCGGGGAAGGAUUGGCCCGCGUUGGAUUAGCUAGUUGGUGGGGUAAAGGCCUACCAAGGCGACGAUCCAUAGCUGGUCUGAGAGGAUGAUCAGCCACAUUGGGACUGAGACACGGCCCAAACUCCUACGGGAGGCAGCAGUGGGGAAUAUUGGACAAUGGGCGCAAGCCUGAUCCAGCCAUGCCGCGUGAGUGAUGAAGGCCUUAGGGUUGUAAAGCUCUUUCACCGAUGAAGAUAAUGACGGUAGUCGGAGAAGAAGCCCCGGCUAACUUCGUGCCAGCCGCCGCCGUAACAC